UUGAAGAGUUUGAUCAUGGCUCAGAUUGAACGCUGGCGGCAGGCCUAACACAUGCAAGUCGAGCGGUAGCACAGAGAGCUUGCUCUCGGGUGACGAGCGGCGGACGGGUGAGUAAUGUCUGGGAAACUGCCUGAUGGAGGGGGAUAACUACUGGAAACGGUAGCUAAUACCGCAUAAUGUCGCAAGACCAAAGUGGGGGACCUUCGGGCCUCAUGCCAUCAGAUGUGCCCAGAUGGGAUUAGCUAGUAGGUGGGGUAACGGCUCACCUAGGCGACGAUCCCUAGCUGGUCUGAGAGGAUGACCAGCCACACUGGAACUGAGACACGGUCCAGACUCCUACGGGAGGCAGCAGUGGGGAAUAUUGCACAAUGGGCGCAAGCCUGAUGCAGCCAUGCCGCGUGUGUGAAGAAGGCCUUCGGGUUGUAAAGCACUUUCAGCGGGGAGGAAGGCGGUGAGGUUAAUAACCUCAUCGAUUGACGUUACCCGCAGAAGAAGCACCGGCUAACUCCGUGCCAGCAGCCGCGGUAAUACGGAGGGUGCAAGCGUUAAUCGGAAUUACUGGGCGUAAAGCGCACGCAGGCGGUCUGUCAAGUCGGAUGUGAAAUCCCCGGGCUCAACCUGGGAACUGCAUUCGAAACUGGCAGGCUAGAGUCUUGUAGAGGGGGGUAGAAUUCCAGGUGUAGCGGUGAAAUGCGUAGAGAUCUGGAGGAAUACCGGUGGCGAAGGCGGCCCCCUGGACAAAGACUGACGCUCAGGUGCGAAAGCGUGGGGAGCAAACAGGAUUAGAUACCCUGGUAGUCCACGCCGUAAACGAUGUCGAUUUGGAGGUUGUGCCCUUGAGGCGUGGCUUCCGGAGCUAACGCGUUAAAUCGACCGCCUGGGGAGUACGGCCGCAAGGUUAAAACUCAAAUGAAUUGACGGGGGCCCGCACAAGCGGUGGAGCAUGUGGUUUAAUUCGAUGCAACGCGAAGAACCUUACCUGGUCUUGACAUCCACAGAACUUUCCAGAGAUGGAUUGGUGCCUUCGGGAACUGUGAGACAGGUGCUGCAUGGCUGUCGUCAGCUCGUGUUGUGAAAUGUUGGGUUAAGUCCCGCAACGAGCGCAACCCUUAUCCUUUGUUGCCAGCGGUUAGGCCGGGAACUCAAAGGAGACUGCCAGUGAUAAACUGGAGGAAGGUGGGGAUGACGUCAAGUCAUCAUGGCCCUUACGACCAGGGCUACACACGUGCUACAAUGGCAUAUACAAAGAGAAGCGACCUCGCGAGAGCAAGCGGACCUCAUAAAGUAUGUCGUAGUCCGGAUUGGAGUCUGCAACUCGACUCCAUGAAGUCGGAAUCGCUAGUAAUCGUAGAUCAGAAUGCUACGGUGAAUACGUUCCCGGGCCUUGUACACACCGCCCGUCACACCAUGGGAGUGGGUUGCAAAAGAAGUAGGUAGCUUAACCUUCGGGAGGGCGCUUACCACUUUGUGAUUCAUGACUGGGGUGAAGUCGUAACAAGGUAACCGUAGGGGAACCUGCGGUUGGAUCACCUCCUU
rnacentral:rRNA from 2 species